AUAAUACCUAAAAAGAAUUGGAGACAUUGUCAAUUAGAGUGGCUACUGAAUUUCACAGCGAUAGUUUGAAAACUCAACUUACUGAAGUGUCACUACAUCAGAAGGUAGCUGAAGAGCAACAGUCCUUGCUUUGAUUUUAAGCCACACCAGCCUUGUGUAACUUUAUACUAUUUCCAAGCAUCUGUUUCUUAAUCAGUAAGAUGGGAUAAAGCUGGCCUUGAAAUUUGUGAUGGAAGUAAUGUGUGUAAAGUGCCUGGCACAAUAAAUGGUAGAUGUUA